rnacentral:rRNA from 1 species
GAUGAACGCUGGCGGCGUGCCCAAUACAUGCAAGUCGAGCGAACAGACGAGGAGCUUGCUCCUCUGACGUUAGCGGCGGACGGGUGAGUAACACGUGGAUAACCUACCUAUAAGACUGGGAUAACUUCGGGAAACCGGAGCUAAUACCGGAUAAUAUAUUGAACCGCAUGGUUCAAUAGUGAAAGACGGUUUUGCUGUCACUUAUAGAUGGAUCCGCGCCGCAUUAGCUAGUUGGUAAGGUAACGGCUUACCAAGGCAACGAUGCGUAGCCGACCUGAGAGGUUGAUCGGCCACACUGGAACUGAAACACGGUCCAGACUCCUACGGGAGGCAGCAGUAGGGAAUCUUCCGCAGUGGGCGAAAGCCUGACGGAGCAACGCCGCGUGAGUGAUGAAGGUCUUCGGAUCGUAAAACUCUGUUAUUAGGGAAGAACAAAUGUGUAAGUAACUAUACACGUCUUGACGGUACCUAAUCAGAAAGCCACGGCUAACUACGUG